AUUGAACGCUGGCGGCAGGCCUAACACAUGCAAGUCGAGCGGAUCGGCGGACGGGUGAGUCAUGCCUAGGAAUCUGCCUGGUCGUGGGGGAUAACGUCCGGAAACGGGCACUAAUACCGCAUACUAUCAGAUUAGCCUCGGUCGGAUUAGCUAGUUGGUGGGGUAAAGGCAUACCAAGGCGACGAUCCGUAACUGGUCUGAGAGGAUGAUCAGUCACACUGGAACGGAGACACGGUCCAGAAUCCUACGGGAGGCAGCAGUGGGGAAUAGUGGACAAUGGGCGAAAGCCUGAUUCAGCCAUGCCGCGUGUGUGAAGAAGGUCUUCGGGUUGUAAAGCACUUUAAGUUGGGAGGCGUUACCAACAGAAGAAGCACCGGCUAACUUCGUGCCAGCAGCCGCGGUAAUUC
rnacentral:rRNA from 1 species